rnacentral:lncRNA from 1 species
CUUUGGUAUCAGGAUGAUGCUGGCUGCAUAAAAUGAGUUAGGGAGGAUUCCCUCUUUUUUUUAUUGGAACAGUUUCAGAAGGACUGUUAACAGCUCCUCUCUGUACCUCUGGUAGAAUUCGGCUGUGAAUCCGUCUGGUCCGGGACAUUUUUCGAUUGGUAGGCUAUUAAUUAUGGCCUCAAUUUCAGAGCCUGUUAUUGGUCUAUUAAGAGAUUCAUCUUCUUCCUGGUUUAGUCUUGGGAGAGUGUAUCUGUCCAGGUUUUCUAGCCAUGAAGAAAUAAAGAUAGUAGCAAUAUUUGUGGUAGCCAGAAUGGUACUCCAAAGAAGUCCAUGGCCAACUCCUGGAAUUGGAAUAUGUAAGUUUACAGAUAUAAUUAAGGUUACUAACCUUAAAAUAGAGAGAUUUUCCUGUAUUAUCUGGACGGCCAAAUCUAAUCACAGGAGUCCUUAAAAGCAGAGAAUGCCCUCCAGCUGGAGGCAAGAGGAAGGUGGAAUAAGAAGUCACAGAGGUUCGAAUCAGGAGAGAGACUCAACCUGCCAUGUUUAGAACUCCUUGGAAAGCAUGAAAAGAAUGCAGGUGGCUUCUAGGAGCAAAUACCAGUCCUUGGCUGACAACCAGUAAGGUAACAAAGACCUGAGUUCUACAACUGCAAGAAACUGAAUUCAAGAAUUAAACUGAAUGAGCUUGGAAGCAGAUUUCUCCUCAGAGGUGCCAAUAAGGAAUACUGCUCUGCCAACACCUGGAGUUAGGCUUUGUUAAACUUUAGCAAAAGAUCCAGUCAUGCCCACUCAGGCAUCUGACCAACAGAAAUUGUGGUACAAUAAAUU